GAAUUCUUUGUUUUUCAUUUUUGCUUUUAUUUCCUCUCCUAUCUCUUCCUCCACUCUCUAGAAGCAAAACACCCUCUGGCAAUGAAAGUUAAAGAUGCUUCUCCAGAGAGGCACCAAGCCAGGGCCUAGAGGGCUGAUCCCCAACCCAUUGCCAACUGCAGUCUAAGCAGUAAUUUUCCUUCCCCCUUACUCUUUUCUGGGAAGUCCUGGGAAAUGCAGAGGUUUCUAAGGCCUCCCUGGAGAGAAACGGAAAUCUUUCCCCUGAUAAGCAUUCCAACUCCUCUUGAAAGAUCUUUUAUUGACACAACUUUGAACGGCUGCUGCAGAGAGGCUGCCUUUUGUGGUCUGCACAAACAAGCAGAGCUCUGGGCUGACCUCUGCUUUCAGGGGCUUGCAGAUACAAGUUCUGCAUUUCCUGUUAGUUUCUUCACCUCCAAGACCUUGGGGGGGAGUGUGUGCUGCUGAACAACACCAGAGAUCCCAGGCAGUGGGCACUAGACAAAUUCCCUGUACUCAUCAGAGAGAAGUUCUGCCCCUUCUGGUCCUCUCUACAACUUGGUUUCUCUGCGCAAAGACACAUGUACUCCAAUGUUCAUUGCAGCACUAUUUGCAAUAGCCAAAACAUGGAAACAACCUAAAUGUCCAUUGACAGAGGAGUGGAUCAAGAAAAUGUGGUACAUAUACACAAUGGAAUAUUACUCAGCCAUUAAAAGGAACGAAAUACCAGCAUUUUUAGCAACAUGGAUGGACCUAGAAAUUAUCAUACUUAGUGAAGUCAGCCAUACAAUGAGACACCAACAUCAAAUGCUUUCACUGACAUGUGAAAUUUGAAAAAAGGACAGACUGAACUUCUCUGUAGAACAGAUGCUGACUCACAGACAUUGAAAAACUUAUGGUCUCUGGAGGAAACCGUGUGGGGGGUAGGGGGACAUGCUUGGGAUGUGGGAUGGAAAUCCUGUGAAAUUGGAUUGUUAUGAUCAUUAUAUAACUACAGAUGUGAUAAAUUCAUUUGAGUAAUAAAAAACAAACAAACAAACUUGGUUUCUCUGUA
rnacentral:lncRNA from 1 species